UACGUAGGGGGCAAGCGUUGUCCGGAAUUAUUGGGCGUAAAGAGCGUGUAGGCGGUCCGGUAAGUCAGCUGUGAAAGUCAAGGGCUCAACCCUUGAAAGCCGGUUGAUACUGUCGGGCUAGAGUCCGGAAGAGGCGAGUGGAAUUCCCGGUGUAGCGGUGAAAUGCGCAGAUAUCGGGAGGAACACCAAUGGCGAAGGCAGCUCGCUGGGACGGUACUGACGCUGAGACGCGAAAGCG
rnacentral:rRNA from 1 species